UGAAACUGCGAAUGGCUCAUUAAAACAGUUAUAAUUUAUUUGAUAGUGUUUUUAUAUGGAUAACCAUUUUGGGAAACUAUGGCUAAUACAUGCAUAAAGACCUUAGGGUUGUAUUUAUUAGUUUUGACCAAUCUUUGAUUGUGAGGAGUCAUAAUAACUGAUCGGAGCGCACUUGUGGGCGCUAAAUCUUUCAAGUAUCUGCCCUAUCAGAUUGUUGGUAGUGUAUUGGACUACCAUGUCGAUCACGGGUAACGGAGAAUUAGGGUUCGAUUCCGGAGAGGGAGCCUGAGAAAUGGCUACCACAGCUACGGUAGGCAGCAGGUGCGUAAAUUACCCAAUCCUAAUUCAGGAAGGUAGUUACAGGAAAUUUGCAGCAUGAGGUUCGCCUCAGACUCAAACGAACACUUGUAAGUAUAGUGUGUUUAAUUGGGGGGCAAGUUUUGGUGCCAGCAGCCGCGGUAAUUCCAACCCCAAGAGUGUAUCUUAAUGUUGCUGCAGUUAAAAAGCUCGUAGUUGAAUUUCUGACUAACACGCGAUCCUAUGGAGAGCGAGUAGUCAUCGGCUUAGAGAAGCAGUACGACCCUCAAAAGUUGUAUUGUAGACCUAGCAUUUUACUUUGAAGAAAUUAGAGUGUUCCUGGCAGGCUACGCUUGCAUAUAUUAGCAUGGAAUAAUGGNAUAAGACUUUGUCUGUUUUUUUGGUAACAGAUGAGUAAUGAUUAACA
rnacentral:rRNA from 1 species